rnacentral:rRNA from 1 species
UACAGAGGUCCCAGCUAGUGUUCGGAUUCGAUUCGGUGCGUAAAGGGUGCGUAGGCGGUGGAGUAAGUUGGAUGUGAAAUCUUGGGGCUUAACCUCAAAAUUGCAUUCAAUACUGCUUCGCUCGAGUUCUGUAGAGGAGAUUGGAAUUUACGGUGUAGCAGUGAAAUGCGUAGAUAUCGUAAGGAACGCCAGUGGCGAAAGCGAAUCUCUGGGCAGCAACUGACGCUGAGGCACGAAGGCCAGGGGAGCAAACGGG